rnacentral:rRNA from 1 species
UACGUAGGGGGCAAGCGUUGUCCGGAAUCAUUGGGCGUAAAGCGCGUGUAGGCGGCUGGGUAAGUCCGCUCUGAAAGCCCGGGGCUCAACCCCGGGAGGCGGGUGGAUACUGCUGAGCUCGAGUCCGGAAGAGGCGAGUGGAAUUCCUGGUGUAGCGGUGAAAUGCGCAGAUAUCAGGAGGAACACCAAUGGCGAAGGCAGCUCGCUGGGACGGUACUGACGCUGAGACGCGAAAGCGUGGGGAGCAAACAGG